GACGAACGCUGGCGGCGUGCUUAACACAUGCAAGUCGAACGGAAAGGCCCUGCUUGCAGGGUACUCGAGUGGCGAACGGGUGAGUAACACGUGGGUGAUCUGCCCUGCACUUCGGGAUAAGCCUGGGAAACUGGGUCUAAUACCGGAUAUGAGCCAUUUUUAGUGUUAUGGUUGGAAAGUUUUUUCGGUGUAGGAUGAGCUCGCUGCCUAUCAGCUUGUUGGUGGGGUAAUGGCCUACCAAGGCGGCGACGGGUAGCCGGCCUGAGAGGGUGGACGGCCAAAUUGGGACUGAGAUACGGCCCAGACUCCUACGGGAGGCAGCAGUGGGGAAUAAUGCACAAUGGGCGCAAGCCUGAUGCAGCGACGCCGCGUGGGGGAUGACGGGCUUCGGGUUGUAAACUCCUUUCGCUAGGGACGAAGCUUUUUGUGACGGUACCUAGAUAAGAAGCACCGGCUAACUACGUG
rnacentral:rRNA from 1 species